GAUUAUUGGGAAGUGGCAAACGGGUGAGUAACACAUUGGUAAUCUACCGGAAAGAGGAGAACAACCUCGAGAAAUCGGGGCUAAUACUCCAUGUUUUGAGUGCUUGAUUGAGCGCUUAAUAAAGAUCGCAAGAUCGCUUUCUGAGGAGCCUAUGUCCUAUCAGGCAGUUGGUGAGGUAACGGCCCACCAAACCGAUGACGGGUAGCGGGUGUGAGAGCAUGACCCGCCUCAUUGACACUGAGACACUGGUCAAUCUCCUACGGGGGACUGCAGUUAAGGAUCUUCCUCAAUGGCCGAAAGGCUGAAGGAGCGACGCCGCGUGUAGGAAGAAGCUUUUCGGAGUGUAAACUACUUUUCUGAAGGAAGAAGUCGUGUUGCUUUGCAGCGCGAUUGACGGUACUCCAGGAAUAAGCCGCUGCUAACCUCGUGCCAGCAGCCGCGGUAAGACGAGGGCGGCAAGCGUUAUCCGGAUUUACUGGGCGUAAAGCGUGUGUAGGCGAUUCGAUAAGUUCUCGAUUAAAGCCCUUUGCUCAACAUUGGGAGUGUCGGGAAAACUAUCAAAAUAGAGGCCGGGAGAGGCAAGUGGAACUGUCGGUGUAGGGGUUGAAUCCGUUAAUAUCGACAGGAACACCAAAUGCGAAGGCAACUUGCUAGAACGGUCCUGACGCUGAGACACGAAAGCGUGGGGAGAGAACGGGAUUAAAUACCCCGGUAUUCCACGCC
rnacentral:rRNA from 1 species